GUAGGGUGCGAGCGUUAAUCGGAAUUACUGGGCGUAAAGCGUGCGCAGGCGGUUUUGUAAGACAGAUGUAAAAUCCCCGGGCUUAACCUGGGAACUGCAUUUGUAACUGCAAGGCUAGAGUACGGCAGAGGGGGGUAGAAUUCCACGUGUAGCAGUGAAAUGCGUAGAUAUGUGGAGGAGUACCGAUGGCGAAGGCAGCCCCCUGGGUCGAUACUGACGCUCAUGCACGAAAGCGUGGGGAGCAAACAGGAUUAGAUACCCUGGUAGUCCACGCCCUAAACGAUGUCAACUAGGUGUUGGGGGAGGAGACUCUCUUAGUACCGCAGCUAACGCGUGAAGUUGACCGCCUGGGGAGUACGGCCGCAAGGUUG
rnacentral:rRNA from 1 species